AAACAAGACAAAUAGCCACUACUAUUAGUUGAAAAUAAUGGCAACUUAUCGAGUACCCAACCAGAAUGAUCGGUUUGCAGAAGAUUUCCGCAAGCUAGAUGAAUUAUAUCGCCGGCCACAGGCCGGCAGAAGGGUCGGGGUGGGAAGGUCUCCUCCUCAAUAUCCUUACGAUCAGAUGGUGUACGGAAACCAGGUAACUUAUUAUCCGAGAGAGCGUUAUGUUAUCACUAGCGCUGAGGCAGCUCAGAUGUAUGAUGGGGUUGAGUUAAAAGAUUUGCCCAAGUAAAAACUAAUAAAAAACCAUGCACCUCAGCUAUAUGUAUUAGAUUAUCGCAUGUUCCACUUGUAAUAUAGUAUGGCAAGUAUCUGUAAUUUAGUAGUAUUUGCUCCUUGUAUAAAUAAAUAAAUAGUCAUAGUUUUAAUAGUAUUGGGGUUGUAUUUUUACAUAUAGCAAAGUGGAAUUUACACCCUUUCUAUGAUCAGUACCUAAUUUUUUCUGGUGCAUGCAACAAUUCUAUUACGUUAAGAAAGUCCAAAUAGGUUCAGGGCCUUUGAUCUGAUAACCCUUUUUUUUUCCUUCAUGAAAGGUUUUAUUGCAAGUUUUGUUACCAGUAUAGUUCUGUACCGAGUAAAGCUCCUUUGUUAUAUUUGAGAGCCAAAUUUUGUUUUAACAAAUAAUUGAAGCACUCGAGCUUGAAA
rnacentral:lncRNA from 1 species